GACGAACGCUGGCGGCGUGCUUAACACAUGCAAGUCGAACGAAGUGGCGGACGGGUGAGUAACGCGUAAUCAACCUGCCCUUCAGAGGGGGACAACAGUCGGAAACGACUGCUAAUAACGCAUACUGAAGGAGGGGAUUGCGUCUGAUUGGCGAGUUGGAGGGGUAACGGCCCACCAAGGCGAUGAUCAGUAGCCGGUCUGAGAGGAUGACCGGCCACAUUGGGACUGAGACACGGCCCAGAUUCCUACGGGAGGCAGCAGUGGGGAAUCUUCCGCAAUUGACGAAAGUCUGACGGAGCAACGCCGCGUGAGUGAUGACGGCCUUCGGGUUGUAAAGCUCUGUUAAUCGGGACGCGGUACCGGAAUAGAAAGCCACGGCUAACUACGUGCCAGCAGCCGCGGUAAUUC
rnacentral:rRNA from 1 species